UCUAAAGCUGUUUUAACAGCUACACAUAUUCACAAAGACUUUUAUU
rfam:Anas platyrhynchos breed Pekin duck contig211467, whole genome shotgun sequence.